rnacentral:rRNA from 1 species
AUUGAACGCUGGCGGCAGGCCUAACACAUGCAAGUCGAACGAGUGGCGGACGGGUGAGUAAUGUCUGGGAAACUGCCCGAUGGCGGGGGAUAACUACUGGAAACGGUAGCUAAUACAGCAUACCAUCGGAUGUGCCCAGAUGGGAUUAGUUAGUAGGUGGGGGAACGGCUCACCUAGGCGAAGAUGCAUAGCUGGACUGAGAGGAUGACCAGCCACUCUUGAACUGCGAAACGGUCCAGACUCCUACGGUAGGCAGCAGUUGGGAUGAUUGCACAAUGGGCGAAAGCCUGAUGCAGCGAGGCGGCGUUUAUGAUGAAGGCCUUCGGGUUGUAAAGUACUUUCAGCGAGGAGGCGUUACGCGCAGAAGAAGCACCGGCUAACUCCGUGCCAGCAGCCGCGGUAAUUC